GCAGGAAUGCGGCUCGUGGGAACGCAGGCUCGAGGGUGCCCUCCUCUAUUGACGGCGCACAGGUCGGUGUCAGCUCUGAUUAUCAUAAAACCCAGCCGGCUUCAAAUUAAGGCACGAGGGCUCGGGCUGGCGGUCUUUCUUUCACACCAGGCAGGGGAGGAAUGAACAGGUCUCCGCGCGAGCCUGCUGUGGCCCUGUUUGACAAAUGUGAUAGGCCCCGGGUCGGCUGUAUUACCUCCUCCUCCUCCUUCUCAUCAUCAUCAUCAUCAUCACCCUCCCUCCCUGUCGCCUCCCUCGCUGUCUGCAGCCGCAGCUCCCACACUCCGGUCUGACCCGCUUUAUUCCGGAAAAUGUCGCCAACAACAGCCAUAAGAUUUACUCACAACGAAGACAAAUUGCCACAAGGCAGGAUGAGGAGCAACAUCCAGCCCGCAGAUGGAAACAAGGGUGGGUGGUUGGAAGGCUGGAUAAAGGCUGGUAGAUGACUGAACUCAGAGACCCGGCGCAGCUCAUCAUCAUUGCCAUGGGCUCUCGUCUUCUUCCUGUCCUCCCUUGGCUCAUACCUCCAUCCAGGGGUCCAGCAGAGCCAGUGAAGCCCAGGCGGGGAGCGAGUGAGUGGGCUGGGAAGGAUGGCGAAGGUCCCUAAAGGCUAGAACCACCUCUGGAGCUACCGGAAAGCAGGAGAAAUCAAUACAAAACACAGAACCUUCACAGCUCUGAGUGGGGUUUCCUGUGUUUUAAGUGUGUGGCCUAGGGGCCCGCAGACCUCCGAAGGACAGGCCCUGCGUGGCUCUCUCAGCUGCAGCCCUGGCUGCGUAGACCGGACCCCAGUCCCGACUUUCCACUGGCUGCGUGUGGUUCGGCUGAAGGGGAUUUCUCCCCAAAUAAUACCCAAUACCCAGAAUGUUGAAGACAGCCAAGAGGGAUAUUCCUUUCUCUUGAUUUAUUUUUUUUUUCCAUCAUAAGAUUGACAUAUCCCCCCACCUUCUGCCUCUGGCUGUUUAAAAACCAGUUUGGGAGUUCUGCUUUUUACUCACUCCUCCAUCUUCAAUUCGCCUGUUGUUUUAUUCCCCAACUAGUUUUUACAUUUGACAAAGAGACAGUGCGAUCUUUAUUUUCUCCUCCAAUCUCGGCUUACCGUUACUAUGGUGAGCCAGACACGUGUCUGUCCAAACCACAAAUACUGGCAUGUGAAGAGUGUGAACAUCUUUUUUUUUUUUUCUCCAUGAUGUUAUUCAGUUUCAGACUGUU